rnacentral:rRNA from 1 species
UACGUAGGGUGCAAGCGUUAAUCGGCAUUACUGGGCGUAACGCGCGCGCAGGCGGUUAUGCAAGUCAGAUGUGAAAUCCCCGGGCUUAACCUGGGAACCGCAUUUGUGACUGCAUAGCUGGAGUACGGCAGGGGGGGAUGGAAUUCCGCGUGUAGCAGUGAAAUGCGUAGAUAUGCGGAGGAACACCGAUGGCGAAGGCAGUCCCCUGGGCCUGUACUGACGCUCAUGCACGAAAGCGUGGGGAGCAAACAGG